ACAUGCAAGUCGAGCGAACAGAAGGGAGCUUGCUCCCGGAUGUUAGCGGCGGACGGGUGAGUAACACGUGGGUAACCUGCCUGUAAGACUGGGAUAACUCCGGGAAACCGGAGCUAAUACCGGAUAGUUCCUUGAACCGCAUGGUUCAAGGAUGAAGACGGUUUCGGCUGUCACUUACAGAUGGACCCGCGGCGCAUUAGCUAGUUGGUGGGGUAAUGGCUCACCAAGGCGACGAUGCGUAGCCGACCUGAGAGGGUGAUCGGCCACACUGGGACUGAGACACGGCCCANACUCCUACGGGAGGCAGCAGUAGGGAAUCUUCCGCAAUGGACGAAAGUCUGACGGAGCAACGCCGCGUGAGUGAUGAAGGUUUUCGGAUCGUAAAGCUCUGUUGUUAGGGAAUGAACAANUGCGA
rnacentral:rRNA from 1 species